rnacentral:rRNA from 1 species
CAGCCGCCGCGGGAAUACGUAGGGCGCAAGCGUUAUCCGGAAUUAUUGGGCGUAAAGAGCUCGUAGGCGGUUUGUCGCGUCUGCCGUGAAAGUCCGGGGCUCAACCCCGGAUCUGCGGUGGGUACGGGCAGACUAGAGUGAUGUAGGGGAGACUGGAAUUCCUGGUGUAGCGGUGAAAUGCGCAGAUAUCAGGAGGAACACCGAUGGCGAAGGCAGGUCUCUGGGCAUUAACUGACGCUGAGGAGCGAAAGCAUGGGGAGCGAACAGGAUUAGAUACCCGAGUAGUCCCUGUCUCUUAUAA